UCUGACCGAGCUUGCUUCCCCUGAGCUCUUUAGCCUGGAAGUUCCUGAAGCCUCCAAGACCCUGGAGGGUAGGGGGUUCGCUCCUCUGGCUGAUGGAACGGCUGGUGCAUGAGAAAUUCUUCUCUCAUAGUUUCACAUGCAGUCUGAUUUGGGGCAUGACUCUUGUGAUGCAGUGCUGGGCACAAGGAAAUGUGGUCACUGAGGAUGAGACAGUGAUGCUGGAGAGACCUGCGUCCUUAAAAUGUUCUCUGCAGACUGUUCAAGAGGUUGUGAUUGUCACAUGGCAGAAACUCAUUAACAAAGGACCAGAAAACAUGGCAACUUUCAGCAAACAACAUGGAGUAGUUAUCCAAUCAGCUUACAAGAAUAAAAUAGAAAUGACUCAGCCAGGGCUCAGUGAAUCAACCAUCACCUUCUUGAGAACUGCAGUUGAGGAUGAGGGAUGCUAUUUAUGCAUCUUUAACAUCUUUGGUGUUGGAACAGUCUCAGGAAAAACCUGCCUCAGUCUUUAUGUACAGCCUACAGUUUUCAUGAGCUACCAACUCUCUGAAGGCCACCUGAAUGUCACCUGCUCUGCCACUGCACGGCCAGCCCCUGUGAUUUCCUGGAAGGUCGGGCUAGAGGUGCCGAAUAGCGUUGAGAGCAUCAUUCAUCCAAAUGGUACCACAUCAGUCACUAGCACCCUCCACAUCAAAGACUCUGAGAACCAUCUGGGAAAAAAGAUAUUCUGUAAUGUGGAUCACAUGAAUAAUAGGUUGGAAUACAACGUGAUCCCAACCAAAGAUGGCGCAGGCCUUCAUUUUUCAGUGCCUAUAUUUGUGGGUAUUCUUGUGCCUGUAGUGAUUCUGCUGGCCUUGAUUUCUAUCUUAUUCUACUGGAAAUAUUGGCGCCAGAGUAGAGGAAUAUGAUUUUUCCCCUGAGGACUGCUUUAGCUGUAUCCCAGGAAUUUAGGUAGCACUGUGAAUAGAACGAUGGAGUUUUCCUGAAAUCAGGAAGACUUGCAUUCCAGUUUGGCUUCAGACACUCACUAGUUGUUUGACCCUGGCGUCAUAGAACAUCAUAGCAAACCUCUUAAGUCAUUCUCUGGCUUAUGGACUAAGAAGCAAGAAUCUGGGACCACCGCUAAAAGGAGGAAAGGAAUGGGUGGAGAAUCUGAAGGACACCUAGGAAUUCCUAUUAUCAGUUUUUUUUUAUCUUUCCAUUUUUUUGUAAAUGUUUUUUUUAAUUGUUUUAUUUAUUUUAUUUUUUAU